rnacentral:lncRNA from 1 species
GCUGUUACUAACCAGGUCUGUGCUGUGCCUGGAGCCCUCUCUUGCUCUAAGCAGCUCCUGCUCCAAACCAGGGUGGAGCGGGUCUGACCUGACCAUGGUAGAAGCAACAGAGGAAGAAUGGAAAGGGGGUGGUGGGGCAGCAUCAGUGUGACAGAAGGAUGAGGGAAGUGAAAGAAAAGCUGGGCAGUGAGGGGGUGAACAGAAAGGACAGGUGGGAGUGAAGCUGAGAUAGUAACCAGCUGAGGGCAGAGAGGCUGCUCAGAGCAAUCUGUGUGUUUGUUAUCUGAAGAGCUGGGUUUGGCCUGGUCUGCUGGAAAUGACUGCAAGAAAGCUGCUCUGCAGGGCACUAGGGGGAACCAUGCUGAGCACAGGCACAGGGCCACCACCCCAUGGAGCUGUUGGAGUGUUUCAAUGUGUGCACAUGUGUGCUUGUCUCUAUAGUGCCACUUUCUGUGUUGCACAAAAACACCACUGAGAAGGGGUUUGCACCAGAUGAACUUCAGAUGAACCUUCCAGCUUCAGCUAUUCUGCAAUCAACAAAAAAACCCUUCAAAACAAGCUAAUUUUGCAUCUUUUGAAUCAGGAUGGAUGUGAAAUGUCUGAGGACAACUUUACAUCUCUCUCCUUCCUCACACUUCCUGGAUAAACUUUCCUGGAGUUUAGUCUACUUGAAGAGCUGAACAACUGCCAUCAUUACCUGAUGGACAACAUCAAAGCCAAGAUGGACCUGCUAUUGAGAGCUACACAGGGAGAUCUCACCCCAAAUCUCACCACUGCAAGUGUGGUGGGAGGUGGUACAGGCAUGGACGUGUUGGCUACAGUCCUUUUUGGUUCAGUUUUCAGUACUCUGCCAUUCCUCUCCUCAGGUUCUGAAACAAGUGGGAUUUUGAUCAUUCUAUUCUCUUCAGUUAGAGUUCCCACGUCAUUUUGUAUUUGAUGAACGGUGUGAGAAACAUCCUGUAAUCAAAGCAAAAACAACUCCUAUCAUGUCACUAUUCUACAGGAGCUCCCAAAGAUGCCUUCAAGAAUUUGCUGCAUUUCUGGGCCCACAGAGUUUUAUGGAGAACAGAAGCUGGUUUUCACAGCUCUUUAAACUAUCCAAAUUACUGAAGGAAAAUCCUUUUCUAUAUCUUUUCCAGGGUUGUAUGGAACACAUGAAUGCAUUUCAUACCUAAUCAAGUCUAAAAAUUCAUCUUCCCACUUCAUUUCUUGGAUGGAUAGAAAAUAAAUACCUUUAUAAAAC